UUCGGUACCGUCGACUCAAACCGUCUCGUUGUUGUAAGCCGUGGGUUUGAUACGGCGAGGACCUAACCCAGUUCCCGGCCGUCGCCAUUGAAGGAUUCGGAAACCCCUUCCUCUCCUCCGCUGUGAGGCUCUCCGCGACGGGUAGGAUCGGCGCUCGCGGCGGAGAUCGGGUGCAGGGCGUCGCAGGCGCUGAUGGGCGCCUCGGCUGCGCCGUUCCAAAUCGGUGCACUACUCCGCUGCCUUGGGUGUCCACGCGGUCACAUAGACCGUGCUUCUCAGUGCCCGUGAAGUGCGUGCAGCCUGCACGCCAACCUCGGGGACACUGAUGUGAAGGUCGCAUAUGGCUAGUGGCUAUGCUAGUUUUGAAUUGCAGUAACCUACUAUGAUUGUCUCUGAAAUCUGAAAUUCUGAAUUGUUUGUAACUUUUUGGCGUUACUAGAAGUUAGCUUCCUUUCGUCAUGCCAGUCUCAGGUUAUUUCCUUUUGUUUGGUCGUGAGAUGUUGAUUCCUGUUUUUCUAACACCUUUAAUUUUGAUGUUAAAGUUACAGAAUUAGUGAGGUUUGUUUUCUUGUAGCCAGACAAGCGAGCUUAAAACUACACUGAGUAGUGUGGUGGUACAAAAAAUUGUUUCUUUUCUUGUUGUCUA